GAUGAACGCUGGCGGCGUGCCUAAUACAUGCAAGUCGAGCGAACAGACGAGGAGCUUGCUCCUCUGACGUUAGCUGCGGACGGGUGAGUAACACGUGGAUAACCUACCUAUAAGACUGGGAUAACUUCGGGAAACCGUAGCUAAUACCGGAUAAUAGAUGGAACCGCAUGGUUCAAUAUUGAAAGACGGUUUUGCUCUCACUUAUAGAUGGAUCCGCUCCGAAUUAGCUAGUUGGUAAGGUAACGGCUUACCAAGGCACCGAUGCGUGCCCGACCUGAGAGGGGGUUCGGCCACACUGGAACUGAGACACGCUCCAGACUCCUACGGGAGGCAGAAGAAGGGAAUCUUCCGCAAUGGGCGAAAGCCUGCCGGAGCAACGCCGCGUGAGUGAUGAAGGUCUUCGGAUCGUAAAACUCUGUUAUUAGGGAAGAACAAAUGUGUAAGUAACUAUGCACGUCUUGACGGUACCUAAUCAGAAAGCCACGGCUAACUACGUG
rnacentral:rRNA from 1 species